UGGCACCUACGGGGGCCUAUCACAUAGCAGGGAAACCCCUGCACUUGCUAAACGGAAGACAGAAA
rfam:Ruegeria sp. ZGT108 ZB100013, whole genome shotgun sequence.